AACGAACGCUGGCGGCAUGCCUAACACAUGCAAGUCGAACGAGACCUUCGGGUCUUGUGGCGCACGGGGUCGUAACGCGUGGGAACCUGCCCUUAGGUUCGGAAUAACUCCCCGAAAGGGGUGCUAAUACCGGAUAAUGUCUUCUGACCAAAGAUUUAUCGCCUUUGGAUGGGCCCGCGUUGGAUUAGCUAGUUGGUAGGGUAAAAGCUGACCAAGGCGACGAUCCAUAGCUGGUCUGAGAGGAGGGUCAGCCACACUGGGACUGAGACACGGCCCAGACUCCUACGGGAGGCAGCAGUGGGGAAUAGUGGACCAUGGGCGGAAGCCUGAUCCAGCACUGCCGCGUGAGUGAUGAAGGCCUUAGGGUUGUAAAGCUCUUUUACCCGGGAUGAUAAUGACAGUACCGGGAGAAUAAGCUCCGGCUAACUCCGUG
rnacentral:rRNA from 1 species